UCCCCGUUACCGAGGCAGUCUGUUUAGAAAAAUCCAACUAAACAUAAGGGUUGCGCUCGUUGAGGGACUUAACCCAACAUCUCACGACACGAGCUGACGACGGCCAUGCAUCACCUGUCACUCAGUUCCAAAAGGCACUCUCUACUUUCGUAGUGAUUCUGAGGAUGUCAAACCUUGGUGAGGUUUUUGGCUUAUCAUCCAAUUAAACAACACGCUCCACCGCUUGUGCGGGUCCCCGUCUAUUCCUUUGAGUUUUAAUCUUGCGACCGUACUCCCCAGGCGGAAUGCUUAACGCGUUAGCUUCGCAACGCACGGGGUCGAUACCGCACACUGCUAGCAUUCAUCGUUUACGGCGUGGACUAC
rnacentral:misc_RNA from 1 species